AUACGGAGGGUGCAAGCGUUAAUCGGAAUUACUGGGCGUAAAGCGUACGUAGGCGGUUCGUUAAGUUAGAUGUGAAAGCCCCGGGCUUAACCUGGGAACUGCAUUUAAAACUGGCGAACUAGAGUUGAGUAGAGGGGAGUGGAAUUUCAGGUGUAGCGGUGAAAUGCGUAGAGAUCUGAAGGAACACCAGUGGCGAAGGCGACUCCCUGGACUCGAACUGACGCUGAGGUACGAAAGCGUGGGUAGCAAACGGGAUUAGAUACCCUUGUAGUCC
rnacentral:rRNA from 1 species